rnacentral:rRNA from 1 species
AGCGAACGCUGGCGGCAGGCUUAACACAUGCAAGUCGAACGGGCAUCUUCGGAUGUCCGUGGCAGACGGGUGAGUAACACGUGGGAACGUACCCUUCGGUUCGGAAUAACUCAGGGAAACUUGAGCUAAUACCGGAUACGCCCUUUUGGGGAAAGGUUUACUGCCGAAGGAUCGGCCCGCGUCUGAUUAGCUUGUUGGUGGGGUAACGGCCUACCAAGGCGACGAUCAGUAGCUGGUCUGAGAGGAUGAUCAGCCACACUGGGACUGAGACACGGCCCAGGCCCCCUGGGGGAGGAGGGGGGGGGGAAUUUGGAAAAGGGGGCGAAGUCUUGACCCACCCGGGCGGGGGGGGGGAUGAGGCCUUGGGGGUUGAAAAUCUUUUUUGUCCGGGACGAUAAUGACGGUACCGGAAAAAUAACCCCCGGCUAACUUCGUG